GCCUUCGUGGUGUAAUGGUCAGCACACUCGGCGAGUAAUCGAGGGGUCCGAGGUUCAAGUCCCGGUGUGGGCA
rnacentral:tRNA from 1 species